AAAGAAAGAAAGGCCUUGUUCCCAGCACGACACUAUUGGGGGAAGACCUUUAUGAAAUGGGACGUAGUAGGAGGGAGAUUGUAGGUCAUUGGGGGCAAGCUCUUGAGAGGGAUGUUGGGAUCCUGGCCCUUCCUCUACCUUUUGCUUUGGAGCCACUGUGAAGUGAGUAACUUGCUCCAUGUGCACUCCUGCCAUGGUGUACGGCCUUGCAGAGGCCCCAAAUCAAUAUGGCCAACAAACCACCGAUCUCUAAAAUAAGCCUUUCCUUUUUAAAGAUGAUUAACUCAGGUAUUUUUGUUUUAGUAUGGAAAGCUGAGUAACACAGUGAGACAGUAAGUCAUAAAGCUUGGAUGUGAUUACAUUUUCUUCAGAAACAGUGAAUUCACAGGUAUUGGAUAGAAUGAGGUUAGUUUUGGCCAAAGACCAUUGUAAAUUAAAAACAUUAAUAUACUUCCUUUAAUAACCAAUUGUCCCAGAUAUAGAAUAUACUAUUUGAUAUAACUAUAUAAUAUAAUCCAUAGCUAUAUAAUAUUACAAUAUGAUAAUUAUCAUAUAAUAAUGUUUACAUAUGUAUAUACAUAUGUGUGUGUGUGUGUGUAGUGUAUACUCUAGAUUGUGAUUUCCAACCUGUUUAAAUGCACCAGUGUCAAUUUUGCUGAAAUAUUUUCAGAUUUGUAAACUUGAACUUAAUGGGUUUUAAAAGACAGGUAGAAAGUUCUUAACACUAUUUAUGAAGUAUGUGUCUUUAAAAAUCUAGAAUGGAAUUUUGCCAAGCUCUGAAUCUGAAUAGCAGUUUAUAGGACUUAUGGGAAACAGAAGAUCAAAGUGACCACACCUCAAGAAAACCAUCAUGACUCUAUAAAGCAAUAGACCCAUUUCUCUAAUUAGGCAAUGUAUAAAAUGAAAAGAGAGGUCAAGUGAGGAGAGUGGGAAGGGAGACCAUCAGAAAAUAAAGAAAUAUAGUAGUCAUCCAAAUGAAAUAAAAUAAGUAGUCUUGUCUGAUCACAUGUCACCCAAAAGAACUCAAAAUAUUUAUGAGUCAAAUGGGAAGUUUUGAGUGAAGACUGGUAUAAAAUACAAAGGAAAAGAUAGUUUCCACCAUGUAAAAAUUCAUCAGGCAUAGGAUAUUUGCAUAUUGUUGAAGUUUCAUUCCACAUAUGAUUUAUUAAUUAUAAUAGGAAAGGGCACAUUUAAAAUGGAGAAAUCUGGUGAGCAUAGCAUUAACCAAAUGAGCAAACAUAACAUCAUCAAUAAUGUAGCAUAUUGCUUGAUGUGGUGCAUCCAUGUAAUAUUCCUACAAAAAAAAAAAAGAAAUUAAAUACUAACUGAAAUCUAAUCAUGAGGCAAAGACACAUGAAAAUUGAAGGCUACUUUCAAAAUAUUGCCUGUGUUAUUUUAAAAUAUUAAAAGACAAAAUGAAAAAAAAAUGAAGUUUUGGGUAGUGUUCUAAAAUAAGGGAGAAGUGCACAAUGUGAUCCUUGAUAGGCUUGUGGAUUAGAGCAAUUAACAGUUAUAUAGAGUACUGUUGAGACCAUUGAAUGUCAUUAAAUAGAAAUGAAUAUUAGCAAAUUAUAUCAUAUUAACUCUAAACUCUCUGAGAGUGAUCAUUUUCUUGUGAUUUUAUAGGAGAAUUCCAGCUUCUUCAGAGACUUAUUCUUAAGUAAUAUGUACUAUCAUGAUAUUUGAAAUUAAUCCUCACUUGGUUUCAGAAGAUAGAGUGAGAGAAAGAGUCUGUGCAAGUAGAAUUAAAAAAGAAAGAAGGAGCAAAUGUGGUCACAUUGCAGCAAUUGUUAAAUCCUUGUCUUUGAGUCCUAGGUCCUUAGAAACUCACAACAAGGAAAGGCAGCACCUGCUAAAACAAAAGAAGAGCAUGGGGACCACAGCAAGUGGACAGCUCAAAAACCACAUCCUAAAGGAGCUGCUGCAGGCACCCUGCCAGAAACACCCAGAGAAUCUGCAGGACAUCUUGCUUCUGUCAGGAUCUGCUAACCUUAACAAACCCUUACAAGCCCUUGAAGACCCCAACCCCUGAGGACAAGGGAGACACCUGAGGACAAGGGAGACACCUUUCAAGGAGUCCAGACCCUCUCCUGUCUUGGACAGUAAAUAAAAUAGUUAAUUGCCAAUUGC